rnacentral:rRNA from 1 species
ACUUUAAGGUUAAGUAAAAUUUUAAGUUGUUAGUUAAACGUUUAUAUUUUAGAGAAUUACGAGUAAUAGCAGGUGAAAUUGGUUAUUAAUGUUCGUAUAACAAAGAAAUUUAAGUUGAAGCUAAAAAGGUUUAAUAAAAAACUAGGAUUAGAUACCCUAUUAUUAUAAAAGGCAGAUAAAAAGCUUAAUUAGUAAAAGAUAAAUUCUUAAAAUUUAAAAAAUUUGGCGGUAAUUUAAUCUUUUCAGAGGAACCUGUUUUUUAAAUCGAUAAACCACGAAUAAUCUUACUUACCUUUGUCAUAAAUUUCAGUUUGUAUACCAUCAUUAGCAAAUAAUUUUAAAAGAAUUAAUUAUUUAAUAUAAGAAAUUAUAAAAAUUAGAUCAUGGUGCAGCUUAUAGGUAAGGUAAAAUGGGUUACAAUAAAUUUUUUUAUUACGGAUCAAUGGUUUAAAAUUGUUGUGAAGGAGGAUUUGAUUGUAUUAUAAAUUUAAUAAGAUUUAAAGAUAUAAGCUCUAAAUUAUGUACAUAUCGCCCGUCGCUUUCGUCUAUAAGCGAAAUAAGUCGUAACAUA